AUUGGCAGGCCAACAGAACUGAGAUCAUAGCUUCUGAAAAUAGUCUCCCCAGGAACUUUCUACUGAAGCCAAACAGUUAAAGCAAAAUCUAUAGAUGUGGCCGAGUUCAGGAAAGAAUAUGACUUGCUUCCUUCUUUAAAAGGAGACCACUGGGUAUGAUGUGUUUCUAGAUUAUGUGCUUCACGUUUCUCAAAGAAACAGCACAACAUGAAUAAGAGAGAGAGAAGUGUGUGUCAACAAACUGGGGCCUUAUUAUGCAAGAAUUUGCUUAAAAAAUGGAGAAUGAAAAGGGAGUCCUUACUGGAAUGGUUGAGCUCAUUGCUCCUACUGCUUUUUUUGUACCUAUAUCCUAUUAGUCAUCAAGUCACUGAUUAUUCUUCACUGCCUACCAUGGACCUGGGACGGGUAGAUUCAUUUAAACCAUCUACUACACUUAUGAUUGCAUACACACCUCUCACCAAUAUAACCCAACAGAUAAUGAAAAAAGUUGCCUUGGCCUCCAGUAUAAAUGGAGCUGGCAGGAACCGCAGUGCACCACCAGGAGCUGCCAGGAGCUGCGCUGCUUCCACCGGAGGCAGGAGGGAGCCGUGCUGAUUCCGUGGGAGGUGGGAGGGAGUCAAGCCACUUCUGCUGGAGCAUGGAGGGACUCGUGCAGAUUCCGUGGGAGGCAGAAGGGACCUGUGCUGCUUCUGCGGGAGGCAGGCCUGCCAUCUCCUCUCUGGGCCUGUGCUCAGCUGCGGUGGCUGCAGGCCAGCCCCCUGUCCCUGUCCAUGCCUGUUUCAGCCAGAGCCACCUCCAAGCCUUCGCGAUCAGGAUCACGGGUCACAGGCAAGGUGGCUUCUGGGUCCCGGGGGUGCCGCCUUGCCUGCUGCCCAGCUUUCCGAUCAUGGUCACUGGCUGGGGACGGGCAAAGGCACCCUGGUUCUCUGAUCCAAGGCCAGGGGGCAGGGCAAAGGCGGCCCUGGUGGCUCUUGCCUGCCACCUGUGUUUCCGAUCAUCGUUCUUCAGACCUUCCCCUUUCACCUCCCAUCAUUGUGCCUAGAAAUGCAAAUUAACCGCCAUCUUUCUUGGCAUUUAAUUUGCAUAUCACCCUGAUUAGCCAAUGGGAAACGUAGCGAAGGUAUGGUCAAUUACCCUGUUUGUCUUUUAUUAGAUAGGAUGCAACCUGACUUGCUCCACCCAGUCACUGGAAGUUAUAGAAUUAAUGUCUCUUCUUUUUGUCAACCUCUGUGCAUAAUUCCUCUCUGGCCUCAGUAACCAUGCAUUUUGUGUUUGGAUUCUGACUCCAUAUCUGAACUCAGUAUCCAGAAGUCCACCCGCUCUGCAGUCUGUAUUCAUGACUGCACAUCCCAGAUUAUGUGUACUUUUCUUUCCUGUCCUUGCUUCCCUGCACACAGGCCAGGAGGGUGGGUGUAGACCUCCAUAGCUUUCCCAUGGUGCCGCAUGGAACAUCACACCAUUAGUUUCACUUGAAUCUGAAUAUCUACAUUGUGCAUCUUGCCUGCAAACACUGAAUCUGCUUUUGAUUCAAGAUCUUAACUUGCUCUGCCUGACAAACUGAGGCCUAUUCUUCCUGUCUACCCUGAGAUGGGUUUGUUCCUACCCUGUUUCACAGUGUCUUCCUAGGGGUCCUGAUGACAUGAACAUGUGCUUCUCAACAACACCUUUAUUAAAAGUCACAGGCAAUUGCAAUAAUAAAUAUUCAUUAAAUGACUAUUGUGUGCUAGAUCUUUACAUGGAGUUUGUCUUCACAAUGAAUGUGUUAUCUUUAUUUUACAGUAAGGUCAUUUGAAAUAAUGAUAAUAAAUAUUCAUGAAAUGCUACUAUGUGCUAGAGUUGUAGACUUUAUUCUAUAAGUAGGAUAUUACUCUAUAAUAUUAAUAGUAUUUUUCUGUAUUAUAUUUAUCUGUACUAUGCUUACUAUUCUGUACUAAUAAUAAUUGAUAUUAAGUUUAUUUUACAAAUACAGAAAUUGAGUAAAAAAGGUUAAGAAACUUACUCAUGAUUAUAACAUAUUUAAUGAAAAAUAUUAUCCAAGGGGGAAUAAUGUUAAUUCUAUCAAAAUACAUGCUACCUCCACUUUGAUCUUUAACAUUCCCACCCCAAUCCAGAACUUUUCUUCCAUUUCUUCUCAUUUUUCAGUCUUACUAAAGCAUCUGUAUGGCAUCGAACACAAUAUUAGCAAAAAAGACGGAUUAUUUUAGUUAUAUCAACAUAAGCACUCACAUAGUUUUUGUUUUAACUCUUUUUUUUUCCAGCAUAUUAACCAUACUAUGAGGAUUGCUCAAGAAAAAUGAAGUUGCAUAGUUAUUUCCACCUGAUAUAAACCAGUACCUAAUUGUCAUAUACAUAUAUAAAAUUUUAGAUUUAUUGUAAUGCUAAUUCUUCUGUGAGCGGUUUAAUUGGCAUGGUAUAUUAUACAUAAUUAAUACUGGUUCAAUAAUUCCAACAUAUGAAAAUAAUUUUUAUGUAUGUCUUCUGAUUAUACACUCUCUGGA